rnacentral:lncRNA from 1 species
AUUAGAUUCCAUGUGCCCCUUCCUUCCAUCUCAUGUCUUAGAAACAUGCCAGAAGUGCAGAUUCCCUUGUGGGUAAGUACAUUAAAGCCUACGUGUUCUUGGUGGGUGUUCCAAAGCUACUUUAUACCUACAGGAAUGUUUGAUGAAGCAGGUGGUGGGAGAAAAGGGAACUAACAUGGCUCACAUGCCUACUCUGUGCUAUACACUGACCUACACUAUUUAUUUCUUAAAGAGCCUACACAUAAUGCAUUCUUUUUUUUUUUUUUUUUUUUGAUUUCACACCUUAGGAAAGUAAGGUUCCUAGAAGAAAAACGCAGAAUUGAUGAGAAAAUAGUAAAAUGGAUGCAGCAGGACCACAGAUUUUUGGGAAACGGAAAAAGAUCCAGAAAAAGUCAUUUUAGUUAUCUCUAUCAUGGGAUCUGGCCUUCCAGGAAAACGGCAAAACAGGGAGGAAGAACACACUGACAUUGUCCGUGGGUCCCUGAUGAACAAACAAGACUGUUUUAAGAAGCCACUUCCAGGAUAAGAGGGGUCUUAUUAAAAGGUUAAAGUAGUAUGGACCAGAUGCAGUGUUAGGAGAUUACAGAAAGGAUCUCACUCUGUAACAGGAAGUAAAUCCUGCCGAUUCAUGCAAUCACAUGUCUUCUGUUUGAUCUGCGAACAAGUGACUGAUGCAUUGAGAAACAGCUGAUGCCAGUCUUUCUUAAAACUUGUGGAAAGGGGAAGUAACAGAAAAAAAAUUAUUAUUAACCAGCUGAGUAAUCUAAAUGCCGUAUCAGCAAGAAUCUUAUUUAGACCUAGUAAGGACGUGAUUUUUCAUGGAUCUUAGAAGCCAGAAGUCUUGGACUCAUUGGAGAGUCUCUAAGGUAGAACUGCAAAAUGGCCAACUUUGAAGGAGAAUACUAAAAGACAUGAGAAAUUUCAUCUCCUUUAAAAGGGAGAAUAAACUUCUGAAGUACAGAGACCAUAUCUUCUAUUUUUCUUCCCCAAGAGUCUUGGCUCAGGGCUCUGCAAUCCCCACUAUCUCGUGGUUCUGCGUUGUGAGGUUUGGGCUGCUGUUUCCGAGGCGUACGGAGAAUCCCAACUGCCCAUCGGCGUUCAGGUCUCUUCGGGUUGACGCCGCUGCACCAGCCCUGCAGACUCUCGUGUUAAAGAGAGAUGAGCGAAUUUUAAAGUGAAUUAUCUACUCAUACGGGAGCUUUCCUGGCUUCUUUUGGAGAACAUUUGAAAGAGUUUUGAAAGGGAAAAUUAUUUUUAACCCAACCGCCUCUACUUUCAGGAGUAUCAGGAGUCUUAUUCUAGGAUCAUGUACUGUGUGAAUAAAUCAGGAACAGAGCCAGAGACAAGUCCUCAGUUUUCUCUUGCUGAUGUGAUUCCACCUCAAUUUUCCAUAAAAGGCGAUGGCUGAUGCUUAUUAUUACAUUUAGAGAAACUAAAUUGUUCAAAGGGCUUUCUAGUUUGCAAAGUGCUUUUAAAUGUAUUCUAAUAGUUCUUUCGUUGCACAGAGCACCAGAGAUAAUAGCUAAUAAGUACUGUGUUCAGUGCUUACUCAGCCUGCACCGUUCUAGCUGUUUUAACAUUUAAUUCAUAAAAUAAUCCCAUUGGUGGGUCCUGUUUUAUAAAUGUAUAUAUUACAGAUGAGCAAGGAUCAUUCCAUUUUACAGAUCAGAAACAGGUUUAAAGAGUUGAAGUAAUUUGCCAAAAGCCAUAGAGCUGGUUAAGCUGUGGUUUGAUUUCAAGUAGUCCAGAAGCUUGUGCUUUUAACACUAUGUUAUCCUACAGGAAAAAAAAAUACAAAAAGAAAAGAAAAAGAAAAACCCUUAGUUACAUGAAGCAAGUUCUCCUAAGGCUGCAGCAUGGUUUUUGUUUUGGUUUGGUUUUUGUAAUAUUAACAAGAAUAUUAUAUCCUAAUGGUACAAUGAAAGUUUUUUUUUUUUUUGGAAAGUCACAGUUUAAUAAGUGCAAAAUUAAGUAUGUCAGUACCCAAAAGGUAUAGGUCAUUAGGCUUAACAUUGUCAACCAACAAACCAAUAUUCUAAAUGCAUGAACUAACUACUUUUUGUAUAAAUAUGGUAGUGCAAAGUAAUUCCUUAUAAUAAUUUGUUAGUGUCUACCAAGAAGCAGAUGCUAAGAUGGGAUUAGAUGUGCAAGAAACUUACUGGGGGAGGGAUUUGGAGCAGACAGGAGCAGCCUGCAGACUGAUGUAGGGCUGACAUCUGUGGAACAAAAGAUGGAAGAAAGGAGCAUGGAGUAGGGAGAGUCUCACUGCAUUCUUACAGUAUCCACUCUGUGCCGUUAUGAAACUCAGAGCCUAUACUGUGAAGUGUUGGGGAGACGUUGUUUUAAAAUAUGGUAAAUGCAGUGAUAGACUGUACAGAGAUAUUACAGGAACACUGAGCUCUAAUCUGGGCUGAAGGGGGUGGUGUGUGUGUGUGUGUGUGUGUGUGUGUGUGUGAAGAGGCAGGAGGGUGUUCCAGAAACGUCUUACUGGGGAAGGUCACAGCCAAGCUAAAUAUCAGACAAUGAGUAGGGCUUAGAAGAAGAGAGGCAACAAAAGGCUCAGUGCUGAACUGCAGGCCUCUAACCCCCUUCUGAUAAGCGGCAGUCUCUGUGAGAUUUCUUCUAUUAUUAUGUAGUAUUAUUUAAUCAUUAAUUUUCUUGCUUUUGUUUCUUGCCCCCAACUCCACUGCAAGGUGUUCAAGGCAGGCAUCAUGUCCUAUUCCUUUGUUUUUCCCACAGUGCAGGACAUAGUGUCUAUCCAAGUGCAGGCCAAGAGGGUGAGAUUUAGAAAUAUUACUACCAUCAACUCUUCUUUGUUUAAAACAAAUGUAUGUCAGGGUUUUGUAUCAGAUUUUGUUUGCUACAAUUCAAAUUUGAAACCCACUGGUGCAGGGGAAAGAGCUUGGGAGAUAUGGUGCAAUGAACUUGGUCAGAACAGUCAUAUGUUCUAUCCUUGGAGCUGGAGGUGAUGCCCCCAUCACAGGCUCCUGAACUGACUGUGGGUGAGGGGUGGUCCCCCAGAAAGUUUCCCCUUAUCUUCUGGUAAGGCUAUACUAACCUGAAAAGAGAAAAUGGGUUUUCAACAACUGAAACACUGCUAAAUUGCGGAACACUUAUGAAGGAAGGAGACCUAAGUUGGAUCUUGAAGUGUUGUUACCCAUUGUGUUCCAGUAAAAGGUCUGUCCACAGGUGGACAAGAGUCUGUUCCAUUCACUGUGAAGAAUGCGUAACCGGGUAUGAGAGUCACUUCUGGAAAUUCUGGCUUGUAUGGGUGUGUCAAUGGGGCUGAUGGAAAAGGUAGGGUUUAUUUUUUCAUCAGAGUCCAGAGGUCUUCAGAGAAGGGAACAGGCCACGAAUAGAAGUUGAACUGAUUGCUGGCCCUGAGACAAAAACCCUUGUCCUUUAGGGUUUAUCUUCUGAGCGUGAGUGCUAACUAGGAGAGGGACAUCUCUUGAGAAGGGAAAAGUCCUGUGCAUAAGCUUGGGUUCAGAAGAUCCUUUGGGAUCCCAGGAGGGGGCAGCAUAGUGCGGCCAUGCUCAGCUGUCUUUUGGCUUAGCCCUUUAGUGAAUGCUUACUGGGUUCUUAAGGAGAAAGAGCUAGAAGGAAAAAAAUGAGUUGAACACAAGAGAUAUACUUCCAUAUUUGGCAUUCUUAAACCUAAGAUCUGUGACUCCAGAUUUUUAAGUAACGACUUUAUUGACAUAUAUUUCACUAUGAUACAAUUCAUUUAAGUGUAUAAUAGUUCAGUAGUUUAGUCUAUUCACAGAAUUGUGCAACUUGUGUCACCAUUUUAGAACAUUUUCAUCACUCCCUCCAAUAAAACCCUAGCCAUUAGUAGUCACUCAUUUUUCUAUUUCCCCCUCCCCACCCCCAGCCAUAAGCAGCCACCAAUCUAUUUCUUUCUUUCUUCUUACUUUUUUUUUUGGUUGCCCAGGCUGGAGUGCAAUGAUGCAAUCUUGGCUCACCACAACCUCUGGCUCCCAGGUGAUUCUCCUGCCUCAGCCUCUGGAGUAGCUGGGAUUACAGGCAUGCGCCACCAUGCCAGGCUAAUUUUGUAUUUUUAGUAGAGGCGGGGUAUCUCCAUGUUGGUCAGGCUGGUCUCAAACUCCCAACCUCAGGUGAUCCGCCCACCUCAGCCUCCCAAAGUGUUAGGAUUACAGGCGUGAGCCACUGUGCCUGGCCGCCACUAAUCUAUUUCUAUAGAUUUGCCCAUUCUGGACAUUUCAUAUAAAUGGAAUUAUAUGGUGUGUGUGUGUGUGUGUGUGUGUGUUUUGAGACGGGCUCUCACUCUGUUACCUAGGCUAGAGUGCAGUGACAUGACCACAGCUCACUGUACCUUUGACCUCCCAGGCUCAAGCUAUCCUCCCACCUCAACCUCCUAAGUAGCUGGGACUAUAAUCGUGUGCUGCAUCUGGCUAAUUUUCUAUUUAUUUUUUGUAGAUACAAGGUCUCACUAUGUUACCCAGGCUGGUCUCAGACCCCUGAGCCCAAGAGAUUGCCUGCCUUGACCUCCCAAAGUGUGGGAUUACAGGCAUGAGCCACUUCACCCAGCCAUGCUAUGUGGUCUUUUGUGUCUGGCUUCUUUCAUUUAGCAUACAUAACAUUUUCAAGAUUUAUUCAUAUUGUGGAUUGAGUUAGUAUUUCAUUCCUUUUUAUGUCCAUUGUAUGGCUAUACCACAUUUUAUUUAUCUUUUCCAUUGUGACAAGGAUGCUUUUCAUCUGGCUGACUUCUACUCAGAUGCAACCUUCCUAAAAGGGACCUCACUCAGAUCUUCCCAAUGUAGGUGACAACCUCUCCUCAUAACACCCAGUGCUUUCCCUUCUGAUCACAACUUCUUGGUGUGGAUGUGGUCUAUCUGUUCUGUUUCAUGUGACACAUAUAGUGCCAAUACUGCAUAAAUGGUUGAAAUAGUAUGGCAUGCAGAAUGGAUGUUGAUAACAGAGAGCUAUGUGCUGGCUCUGUCGCCUGAACAUAGACUUUAUCACUGAUGGGAGCAGGGUGCCUCCCUGUUGACUAGGGUUAAGGCAACAGUAGGAACCCUCCUGGCCAAGAGGGCUGGUAUCACACAGAGAGUAAGGACUGGACAAAGAGGACUGUAAUGCCUCUUUGUGACCAAGCAGGAUGGAUUCCUGGCAUAGAUUAAAUCUAGGGAACAUUGUCUUGUUGCUGAGUUUGUGACUUCCUUGUCCUGAAUCGUAUCUCUAGGCCAAUGUGACCAGUGGGUUACAUACACUCUUUUGUCACCACCUAAAAAUGGAGAAAACUUUAGAAAAUAUGGGCCUAGUUUGACCAUUAGCAAGGAGAACACUGAGGGUGCUAUGAGUUGUAAACAGAAGAGAAAGUUACGAAUCUUAAUUUUGCCUACAGGGCUUCUUUGACAAUAUUCAAAUAAUUACAGAGGCAAAACUUCCUUUUGAAGGAUGUGCAACCUGUUUUAGCUAUUGCCGACAAGGACAUUAGACCUUUGGGAAGCACAAAAGUGAGUUACAUUCUGCUUGUGACAGUAUUGUAAAAGGUUCCCCGGAGAUCUUAAGGAGUAAUGAGCAUGUUUUCUAAAAACAUUCCAAAGCUCAGCAGCCACUUAUAUUAUGAAUAAGGUAAAAACCCACCGCUAGGUGACAGUCUAUCAGCAGAAAUUGCUCCUUUAUGACUCUUUCUAGACUGAAAAUUUCUGGGGACAUCAGGGAACAACAAAAGUAUUAGAUAAUAGUUUUCUGCUCCCAUUCUGUGUACUCUUCCUGUGCAGUUUACUCCCUCAGUUUUAAAUGUUCUUCUUCAAUCUCUGCCUCUCUCUCAUUUAUAUUAAAAUAAUGAAAAUAUGUUGUAUAGAAACAGAAAUGAGACAUGGAAAAUUAACACUUGCCUCCUGUCCCAUACUGGUUUUGUUUUUGUUUUUGUUUGUUUUGUUUUUGACAUAAUCUUGCUGAGUGCAGUGGCGUGAUCUCCGCUCACUGCAACCUCCACCUCCCGGGUUCAAGUGAUUUCCCUACCUCAGCCUCCCAAGUAGCUGGGACUACAGGAGGACACCACCACCAUGCCCAGCUAAUUUUUUUUGUAUGUUAGUAGAGAUGGGAUUUUACCAUGUUGGCCAAGAUGGUCUCAAUCUCCUGACCUCGUCGUGAUCCUCCCACCUCGGCCUCCCAAGGUGCUGGGAUUAUAGGCGUGAGCCACCAUGCCCGGUUGGUUCUUUGGGUUUUUUAAAUAAACAUACCUGUAAGAAGAGUACACCUAGUGCUCUUGACUUUUCAAUGUGUAGAAUAUACUGUAAAAUCCAGUUCAAGUUUAGUUUAUAAGUAUUUUCUCUCUCAUGAAUAAAACUCUAUGUUUCCUUCAGCAUUUGAGGUAAAAAUGGGACAAUUAGGAGAAAUAAAUUUUAGGUCUUUUACGAAGAACUUCACUUUAUAUCUCUUUUGAAUGAAGGAAAAACUCCCUGGAAAAAGUUCAGAGUGUGAAAUUUGAAAUUUAACUUGGUGCCACCCGAGGCUGGUUUGAUUCUCGGUAACUGCUGUAUUUAGGCACUAAGAGUCAGGGCUCUAGGAAGCUUAGAUCCCUCCUGGGCAAAUGUGACUGAUCUUGUCCCUCCUUUUCCCUUUUGCCCAAGCCUGCAGGGCGCUGUUAGCCUGGACUAGCACACUCAGAUUCCAUCUUUCAGAGUGGUUUCCCCAGUCGCCAUUGGCCUGGUUCACUGGUGCCUAAUGAAAAGCUCCAAGAGGUUAUUCCAAAGUCUCUCGUGUUACUCCUGUGCUCCAUAUCUCAGUUUUAGGUAUUCUGUUAUCUCUGUAACCUAAAUUCUGUUAUUUCUGAAAGAAAAACAUACGAUGUAUAUUCAUGCAUUUAAAGAUAGACCAAGUAGGCACAAAAAAAGGCAAAAUGUGGAAUGCUUUUUAUUCAGUUCUUCCAUUUGUAUGAAAAGGAAAAAAGAGGUGUUGUAGGGAUAUACUUGUAUAUGUGCACAUAUUUCUAGAAGGAUACCAGUGAUGUUCAAAAUAUUUAACAACUGGUUCAGCACUGACACACAGGGAUGGAUGCUGGUUUUAGAGCUCUAGGGAUCCUGGAGUUCCCCUAACAUUUAUGCUUUCACCCUGUAAUGACGGUCAAGACUCUGGGGGGCAGCACUCCAAGACCAUGCCAGGCAGCCACCAACUGCUUCCUGAGGGGGCUGAGGCAGGAGGGACUUAUUUUUCAAUGUGCCCUUUAGUGCUGUUUGAAAGGUUAUUUUUUGUUUGAAUUCUAUUUAUGUGCACAUAGGUAGAUUUUCAUUUUGUUUAGCUUAGGAGAUAAGUCUUAUUUUUAGAAUUUGUUUGCGGACAUUUCUGUCUAGUUAUUUGCCUCCAGCCUGUCUCCAGCCUCAGGGCCAUUUCCUUUAGUUCCGUUUUGCUGACUCCUCCACUGAGAGCUCUCCUUAAGCUUCUUAAGCCCCUCUGUUUGAGGGGAAGGGAAGGCCUGGCUGAACUCCCUCUCAUCAUCUCUCAGUUGCCCCCAACCCCAACACUGUGUCUGAGUCUCCUUUUAUUACUUAUCUUGGGCCUCUUGUCUUUCCACCUACCAGACCUCAAUUCCAUUAUUAACCAGUAUAGGCAUCACUCUGCUUAAUCUUGUGAUCAGAAAAUAAGUGCUUUUUUUUUGGUGUUCCCACAACUUUUGUGCAUAUGGAGAAUUAGGUUUCCUAUACACACCAGCCCUAAUGAGAAUAGUUAUUAUAUUAGUGGUAAUACUCACAUGGCAUUGGCUUGAGACUCCACCUGCCUAAUGCAGACACACUGCUCCCUUCCAACUUCCCAUUAUUAGUGGGAGGCACGAUAUAAGUGAUCCCUGCAAUGUGCUUCCUCUCUUGCCUGUGCUUCCACUUUGAGCUUCUUGUUGACCCCCCUGCCACGAGGCCACUGGGGGGCAGUGUCUCUUCUCAGUCAAAGUUGCUUUCUUCCUGUGCCCCAAGGCCAUCAACCACACUGUUCCUAAGUUGUGGAGAGAAGCCUCUUCUCUUCCACUUUGCCUCACAUUUUUUCACCUAGGCCCCAAAAGAGCAUGACAAGUGUUCAUUGUCUCACUUGAGCCCCUUCCCUCUCUACCUGCAGAUUCUGUCUCUGUAGAGGUCAAGCAUGAGUCUAUGGAGCAAAUACAGGGAACCAAAGUCACCCCAUACCCAUCCCAAGGCUGUCCUUUCCCACUCUCCUUUCUCCACCCUAAGAUACCACGAGACCAUUUUCCAGCAGUCCUCUUCCCUUCAGGCUAUUCAGCACCUACAGCCAGGUCAACUGCUCCCUUAGAUUUACCAGACCAAGUUGACUCUUUGUGGUGGUCACUACUGGGCUCAAGCUGAUAGCCUGGCCAUGCAUAUUCUGUUAAUGCUUAUCUCACUGUGUGGCAAUUGUCUGCAGACGUGUCUGCUUCCCCUGUUAGACUGUGGCUUCCUUGAAUGCGAGCUCCUAACCGUGUGGUGUUCAUUUUUGUAUCUCCAGCAUGCAGUCCCCUGUCUGUUACACAGCUGACCUUGAUAAAUAUUUUUGAAAGAAUAAAUGAACACAGCCCAAUUAGCAUAAAUAUGCAGAAAGAAACAGCCCAUCUUUGCCAAAAGGAUAUUCAGGCAACACAUGCAGAGGGAGAGAAGCUCUUCUUAAAGAGGACCCACUUUCUUAUAGAGCAGCCACUCAUAGCUCUCUAGACUCCUUGGACCCUCAGGGUUAGAGAAGACCCAGGGUUAGAACAGCACUUUUGGGGGAGGUUUCAUUGACCUUGUUUUGAAACAAUAACAUGUUGAACGGCCAGGUGACUAGUUAACAUUUUAUUGUGUACCUGCCAGUUGAAAAAAACAAGGUCAAAAACACAAAAGGAUAGAACAUGGCAAAACAUACUGAUUAGACAGGGGAAAGCAGAUGACACACAGGGACAGGACAUUUUAUUUGUAUCAUUCCAAAUUCAGAGAAAUAUAAUUAACUCAAUGCUUGAUUCACCUAAGUUUUUAUAGCAGAAGUGAACGUGACAGAUUGAGGCACAAAUUUGUUGAUGCUGAAUAUUGGGCAUUUCUUCUCUUAUUAUUUACUAUACAUAAUCUGAUGUCAUGUGAUAGACCACAAUAUGUAAAUGACUUCAAUCAGGAAAAAAGAUGACUUAUGUAAGUCUGUCUGACUUUAUUCUCUACACAUACUGAGAAGCAAACCCAUUAAUCACAGCCUAGGCAGAAACUCUUCAAGUAGUGUGUGAAACAAACAGAGGUAUUAAUUAUGGUAAUAAUAAUACUUAACACUUCCUUAAAGGCAUGAUAGUUACAGAAAUUGGGAAAAAUAAGAAUACUCCAGCAGGCUUACAGACACUCAGUGGCAAUAUCACAAAUAAUCAUAAUCACAAUAAUUUCAGAAAUGAGGAAGCAGAGAGAGGGGGAGAGGUGUUAAACAAUUUGUUGAACAUCACACAGCUGGUAAGGAGUCUCUCUAAUUCCAAAGCAUGACUUCUUUCCUGUACACAGCAGUGCCUCCCCAAUUAGAGAAAGUUAUAGUGUAAAAUCAUCAGAGGAAAAAUGUGGUUUCCGGUGAUUUUUAAAACGGUAUUGUCUGGUCACUUGUUCUUGUUUCCCUGUUCUGCUUAACAGUUAUGCACCCCAUAAGGACGUUUUGGUCAAUAGUGGGCCGUAUAUAUGGUAGUGGUCCUGUAAAAUUAUAAUGGACUUGGAAAAUCCCCAUUGCCUAGUAACGUAGCUGUUGUCACAUAGCACACUCCCGUGGGUGUGGUGAUGCUGGUGUAAACAAACCUACCACACUGCCAGCCUUAUGAAAGUAUAGUACAUACAAUUAUGUACAGUACAUAAUACUUCAUAAUGAUAAUAAACAAGUGUUCCUUAUGUGUUUACUAUACUUUUAAUUGUUAUUUUAGAGGGUACUGCUUCUACUUAUAUUUUUAAAACUUAACUGUAAAAGCACCUCAGACAGGUCCUUUCACAGGUAUUCCAGAAGAAGCAUUGUCAUCAUAGGAAAUGACAGCUGCAUGUGUGUUAUUGCCGCUGAAGACCUUCCAGUGGGACAAGAUGUGGAAGAGGAAGACAGUGAUAUUGAUGAUCCUAACCUGUGCAGGCCUAGGCCAAGGUGUGUAUUUGUGACUUAGUUUUUAACAAAAAUAUUUAAAAAGUAAAAUAAAUAAAUAAAUAAAUAAAAUACAAAAAUGCUUAUAGAAUAAGGAUAUAAAGAAAGAAAAUAUUUUUGUAUGACUAUACAAUGUUUGUAAGUGAAGUGCUAUUUCAAAGGAGUCAAAAAGUUUUUAAAGAUUUAAAAGUUCAUAAAGGAAAAAAGUUACAGUUAGCUAAGUUUAUCAUUGUUGAAAUAUUUUCUAAAAUUAUGAAGUACAGCCUACGUGUACAAUGUUUAUAAGGUCUGCAGUGGUGUACAGUAUUGUUAUAGGCCUUCACAUUCACUCACCACUCACUCACUGACUCACCCAGAGCAACUUUCAGUCCUGCAAUCUCCAUUCAUUAUAACUCAGCCUACUUAAAGCCCACCAGAAAGUCAGUGAACAAAUCUCCCAACCCACUCACCCACCAUCAACCCAUAAACUCACCAGCAUGUAUUGAAGGCCUACCUUGUUGUGCCUGGCACAGUGUUUGGUGCCAUGUGGAAUGGCAAAGCAGGACCAGACAGCGUCCCUGACACCCUGGUGCUUGUAAUCUAGUUGGAGAGAUAUGAUAAAAAUAAAUGACACAAUUACAGAAUCUGACAGAAUGUAAUAAAGUGCUAAAUUGUGUGGUACAGACAAUUAGAGAACAAGACAGUAUAUAAUAAAGUGCUAAUUGUGUGGUACAGACAAUAAGUAUAAUAGGAGUUCAGUGAAGGGAUAGAUGAGUGUGGGCUGCAGUCUUCAGGGAAGGCUUCUCAUCAUGUCAGUGCUGCCGUGUUUAUCCAGUGCAUGACGGGAAAUGGAAUAUGAAAUAGAAGAUGGAUUAUGAGCAGAAUAAUGGUGCUGAACUGUGGUAUCUCUUCUCAGGCUGGAUGAACACAGAAAGAGAAAGAGUCCUUUGAAAGGUAGCAUUCUCCAUUAAAAAAAAUCAAAUAGAGAAAUAUUUUAUUUUCUUUAUUAGUUUUGUUAUAGAAAAUUUCUACAGAAACUUAAAAUCAUAUUUUAAAUUGAAUAAUGUUUUAAAUGUACCAGGAAGCUCACUGUUUAAAGGAGCCAUGUUGUAAAUCCUUUUCAUAAAUGAAAAAUACUUUUGCAUUAUUGAUGAUCACUUAGUUUAUACAAAAUUCCUCAAAGCUGAUAGUAAAUAGGUACUCUGAUACACUACUGGUGGGAUUGAUGAACCUUUUACAAGGUAACUUGGCAAUGUGUGCCUAAAAUUUUGACAAUGUGCAUAUUGUUCAACCAAUCAGUUUCACUUCUGGGAAUUUAUCCUAAGGACAUAAUAAUAAUAGCCAACUGCAAGAAUAACUUUACUACAGUGAUAAUUAUCACAGAGUUAGGAGAAACUGGGAACAAUCUAAAUGCCCCCAAAGAGAGGACUGAUGAAAUAAAC